CCCUUAGAUGUCCUGGGCCGCACGCGCGCUACACUGACGGAGCCAGCGAGCUUACCCCUUUGCCGAAAGGCAUGGGAAAUCUUUUGAAUCUCCGUCGUGCUGGGGAUAGAUCAUUGCAAUUAUUGAUCUUGAACGAGGAAUUCCUAGUAAGCGCAAGUCAUCAACUUGCGUUGAUUACGUCCCUGCCCUUUGUACACACCGCCCGUCGCUACUACCGAUCGGAUGGUUUAGUGAGACCCUCGGACUGGUCCCGCUGUCGGACAGGCAACUGUUUGCAGCGCGUGCGCCGGGAAGAAGGUCGAACUUGACUAUCUAGAGGAAGUAAAAGUCGUAACA
rnacentral:rRNA from 1 species